GAUGAACGCUAGCGGUAGGCCUAACACAUGCAAGUCGAGGGGUAACUAGAGUGAUAGCAAUAUUACUUUGGCUAGACCGGCGCACGGGUGCGUAACACGUAUGCAACCUACCUUAUACUGGGGAAUAACUUCGAGAAAUCGGCGCCAAUACCCCAUAACAUUGCGAAGAGGCAUCUCUUUGCAAUUAAAGCUCCGGCGGUAUAAGAUGGGCAUGCGUCCAAUUAGCUAGUUGGUGAGGUAACGGCUCACCAAGGCUACGAUUGGUAGGGGUUCGGAGAGGAUGAUCCCCCACACUGGUACUGAGACACGGACCAGACUCGUACGGGAUGCAGCAGUGAGGAAGAUUGCGCAAUGGACGAAAGUCUUACGCAGCCAUGCCGCGUGCAGGAUGACGGCCCUAUGGGUUGUAAACUGCUUUUGUACGGGAAUAAACCCUUCUACGUGUAGGAGGCUGAAGGUACCGUAAGAAUAAGCACCGGCUAACUCCGUGCCAGCCGCCGCAGUAAUAC
rnacentral:rRNA from 1 species